UCGACCGUUGUAGGACUAAGGAAAGCAUAUUUAGAAAGCUGUAAAAAUAUUUACAAAUGUAAAAAUGAACUUGAGUCCUACUCAGUUUGUGUGGGCUUGAUUUUCCGGUUCUCGUCACUGGUCUUGUCACUGUCCCGAAGCUCUGGCAAACCAGCUCUUCACCUGCUUAGUCGUCGAAUCCAGAUGCUCCAACAGUGGCACGUGGAUUCAACCUUUUGGGCACCAACCAAUCUUGAAAUGGCCAUGCCUCAGGUGCCUGUCAGAAGUGAAGAUAGUUGGGAGGGUUUCUUCGAGUCACUCCCAAGAGUUGCUCCUACUGGUUGCCGGUUAAUUAUCAUUCCAGCUUCUCGUCAUCAGGUGCCCUGGGUCGCUGCCGAGAAUUCCUGCAAGGGCCUCCGGUCACUGCAGAGUUUUCCGGCUGUCGCUGAAACAGUCAUCUGGAUGAUCGCUGAGAUUGACUUGCACAAGACACGCCAGACUCCGUUGUUCAACCCUUGCCACUAGCUGCUCGCUCCCGCUUCCGCUUCUGUGCAUCUUUCUCGGCUUCCCAUCGCCGUCCACAACACCACGGAUUGCUACAGUGUCAUCUCGUCAUCUGCUAGUCAUCUACGGGUGCCGUUUCUACCGCCAGCGACAUGGGCAAGCUAUCAGCACCUCUGCACAAUCCCAGGUCCUGGAGCAGAUAUGACGUCAACGGGCUACGCAGUGACGCCCCUUCUUCCUGUGUACAGAACCCCGGCGCUUACCGCCGGCUCGUCAGUGCGCACGGGAGCUUGGUCACGACCGUCACGGCUGAUACCACAAUGUUUUCCUUGUUACAGAACUAGCUGUUUAGUUGCACAGGGAACCACUUGGCAUGGCAACAAGAUCCUGAUUGAUGAAGAGUUCUGAAAAAAGCAUGCGGGAAAAGCAGUGUCGCUGUCAUCGCAGCAUCCCAACUCCUGGCUGCCGAAGGUUCCAUGGACCGUCAAGCUGGAGAGCGACCUGCUGCAGAACGGGCGUCUGCCUGUCCACCACCGCCAGGAUCCCGGCCGGCAACAUGACACUUCCAUGACGUCAUCAUUUGGAAAUCAAGGAACCACUUUUUUUGGAGACAUGAUGGAAUGCCAUGGAAGAUCGGCAUCUGGAGGAACGCCUGGCUCUAUGCAACAAAGUGGAGUGCCUGCUGCUCUGCCCAACCGCGCCGGCACCCCUCACCACUUCCAGCUCACCGCUGACUGGGCGAACUCCACGACUCAAGCCAGCCAGCCUGUCACCGCCUGGCCUCUUGAAGUAGCAGAGGGCCCUUCCAGUGUUUUACCCUGUCCGGCCAGACCUCUUGAGGGACCACCCUCCUCAACAUGGACAUUUAAAGGACUGCUAAAAACCACAAAAUCAAUACUUUU